UCAAAGAAUCUUGUAACCCGCAAGUAAAUAAAAUUUUAUAGACAUUUUUCCCCCCCGCAAUACCUUCCUUAUAAAUUAUACAAUAAAAUCACAGGGCAAAAUAAGAUAUUACUUGUAUUAAAAUAUGUAUCGUAUACAAGGUGUCUACAGGUAAGUUAAAGUCAAUUUAAAAUAAAAGUAAAUUUAAAAAAUAAAAUUCAGAAUAAAUGCGCACCAAUAUAGUGUCACGAUGGCCGUAAACAAUUAUUACAAGUUCAAACUACAAGGUUACGUUCAAAAAAUUGAAGGUGACCUUGACAUCUUCUUUACAAAGCAUAUUGGCACUAAAGCAGUUCAUACAUCGUAUGUACUCUUCGAAACGACGCAACUUUUUUAUGAAGGAAUUUUGUGUACACCAAUUGAUUGAAAAGUUAUUUAAGGUAAAAGAAGUUAUUUCUCCUGUAUAAUAACAAAAACGAUUUCUUCAAUAGAAUACCGUAUUCAAUAUUGUAACAAUUUGUUAUUAGUCAUUUGAAAUAACAGAUGGUUGAAAUAGGUGUUUGAAAUAAGAUAAUAUUUAGAAUAUAGAGCAAAAUUUCGAUGAAGCGAAGCAUUAAAAUGGUCUGUAUCUCGUGGCCGAGAGUAUCAUUAUUGCAACCAUGCGCCACUAGGGCGCAGCUCUUACCGUGGUUGCAUACUGCAAACUAUACGUAAAUAAUGUAUUUACCUAGACUCGUAACUUUCCACGAGUGGAAAACGAUAACGCUAUCGAAUUAAACGUUACGUAUCUUCGACGUCCGCAAAAUGAACGUAACCCGUUCACCAACGAUAUAGAACAGAACCAACCGAUAUUGUGAAUUGCAUAUCGUAACUACAUGACAAUCGAAGACGUAAGAACAUUCACUGCGACUCUUCAGCUCUUGAAUCACUUUACUACAACACCCGAGCAAACGAUUAUUGUUUCCUUCUCGCCGGAGCGCCACGAUUAGACUUAAUGACGAUUGUGAGAACAAAUCGUCCCGGAGGAACGCAAUUUGUCUUUCACAAGUGCGAAGGCACGCACUGCUAUGCAACAUCAUGGAAGAGGGAACCAGCUGUUGCAGUCGCAUGUUGCCAGUCCGUUCCGCAACCAACGGACGUGAAUAAUCCAUCGACUUGCACGAAAAUAAUCGCUGAUCUACCUCGUUUACGUGCAGGCCUGUGUAUUGCCCUAAUCGCGUCAAUACGACGCAAUCGAACAAACGUAAGAGACGAAAGAAACCGAUGACGACGGGUAACACGCGCAUGUUAUUUAAUACGGUGUCAGCAUUUCAUUGGAGAAUGAAAUCUAUAUAAUUAAAGACCAAUCAAUGGUCGAAAUAAUAAUAUCGGGUUGUCCGGAAAGUUUAUGCCUAUUUUUAAGAAAAAUUCAAAGGCAUAUUUGAAUUUUUAUGUAUAUUUAUGGAAUUAUACAUGUACCAUUUUGUGCCACAACCAUUCCACCUGUUACGGAAUGUACACAUAUUAUUUGUUUUCAGCCAUUCCGAUAUAUUCAGACCUGUACCGCCUACUAAAAAUCGGCAUGGACUUUCCAGACAGCCCAAUAUCUAAAUAUUAUUUAAAACUCUCGAUUUUUAUCCAAGUCUUCCUAUUCGAGCUGCCACUCCAAUAAAUGUCUCGACGAAUAUUUCCCAACGAGCUCUUUGAACAGUUUCACAAUAACAAGACCCCACAGUAUUUGACGGUUCAGUCACGUAGCGACUACUGGUUGCCGUAAUCGAAAUCGUCAGAAGAGACUUUUGUUGGAAGUUUACGAACCGUGGCACCUCGGGAACUUCCAAUGGCUCCCGCGAAUUCCAAACGCAGGGAUUGGUUACCAGGUAAUAUUAUGGAAAAUUAACUAGCUGUUUUAUAGGUGAAAUUUAAUGCCAGUUAAAGGGAUCGUUACGCGGGGAAUAAGGCAGCGAUCCCAGUCGUCGGCGUCGGCGUCGUGUGUAACUCCGGGUGACGCAAUUUUCCGCUUUACAAUAAAUAACGUAACCGUGCACCGGUUCGGAGUUAUUUACUCUCCAUUACCACGCUUAAUGGACCAACUGUUGCGAAGAAACGUGGUGUACACCCGUUACCUGACACGACUGCAUACGUUUACUACGAUCUUGCCCAUUACAUCUUUGAUAUAAACAGAAUUGCUACAAAAAUUGUUUAAUUCGUAACUCGAUAUACAAUCAUUUACAAGCAGUUAUUAUAGCAGUAAUAAUAAUUUAUGGCAUUGCUCUGUAACUUCUGUUUACUUUGUUUUUUUGUUUUUUUUAGAUAAUAAUGUCUCGUAUUACGUUUACUGGUAUCCUAUUAUAUCGUCUAUUUAUAUUCCGCAGUAAAUUUAAAUAAUCUUUAAAUGGAACUACAAACGUAACUAUCAUUACUACGAUCACCUUCGAAACGAAAUACUAUAAUUUUCCGUAGAAAAAGUUAAUUUGUUGAAAGUCGGGCGCCAGGUUCACAUAGCCUUCGGAGUCACUGUAUUCGUUUAAACAGUAAUCCACCCAUAAAACAAUUUGUGUCGUGUAUCUCGGCAUCCAUUGAACUCAAUUUCCCCAGGAUUUAAUUAAAAAACAUUACUGGCUUGAAGGAAACGCGUAGGUGUAACGAUCAGCCCCAGGGGAUCAAGAGGUACCGUAUAGAUGAGAGAUACAGAGGUUUUAACGUUCUUCUCCUAUACAGGGUGUACGGUAACAUGCAAAAUCAACUAUAGCAGUGGAUUGGGGUCACGAAGACAAUGAAUUCAGUUCAUAUAAAUAUACAUAUAUAUCCUAUUUGACCUUGUUUUUAAGUCAUGUUCAUUCUUGUAUUCCGAUAAUUCUACAUUUGAUCGAUUAAACAUCAAUGUCCUUAGAGGUAUUCAAUGUAAAUACGACGAUUAAAUGUUUUACUUUUAUAAGCAGUAUAGCAAUAAGAUUUAUACUGUUCCUUAGUAACCUCCAGUCUUCGAAUAGCGUUGCGA